rnacentral:lncRNA from 1 species
GAUUCCUGCAGAUUUGGCAGGAAACUCAGCAGGACAUUGAGACUCUGCUAGAAGCAAGAAGCCCUGUUUUUCUUUCCACCCCCACCAAUCUGUCAAGAUUUAAGGUUUGGAUUAGAAAUUAAAACAAAGAUGGUAGCAAAAGAAGCACAAUGUAAUUUUUCAUCAAAGGGCCUCAGCUAAACUGCUCUUAAAGAUUCAAGCUGGAAUAUGUCACCCAAACUCUCAUUCUGUUCUAUUUUUAAUUUCUCAGCCAUCACAGAUGUUGGGGUGUGAGUGUGUUUGUGUGUGUGUGUGUGUGUGUGAACUAAUUAACUUUAUUUUGCAUUAUGACACUGCAGCUCUUGUUUUGGCUAUAUUUCUCCUAUAAGUCAAGAAAGAGUAAGUAGAAAACAAAACUGCAAAAUCACACGUAUAGCUACCACUCCUCUAAUAUUUAUCUAAAUCAAUAUUUACAUAAAGGUGUAAAAAGCAAAGAAUAAACCAGUUGCUGAUUUAUCUCUACCUAGGUAAAAGGCAGAGAUGUGGAUUGUAAGACAAAUAAUUUCAAAUAAAUAUCAGCAUUAAUGUUUAUGUCUAUAGUUGUUUAAAAUUUGUCUCAUUUGAAUACUUCAAGUACCCUAUUAUCGGCCUACCAAAUUCUAUCUCCUUCAAGUCCCAACAUGAGG